UCCGCCCCGCCGCCCGGAGCCGGAAGACGGCGAAGGGAGGAGAGGCGCAUGCGCCCUGCGGCUCUCUGGACUCCUUCCCCACUUUUCCGCCCCGCCGCCCGGAGCCGGAAGACUGCGAGGGGAGGUGAGGCGCAUGCGCCCUGCGGCUCUCUGGAUCUGUCCCCCACUCUUCCGCCCCGCCGCCCGGAGCCGGAAGACGGCGAGGGGAGGAGAGGUGGGUGCGCCUAGCGGCUCCCUGGACCCGCCGCCCGGAGCCGGAAGGCGGGAGCGUAGGAGAUGCGCAUGCGUCCUGCGCCUCCCGACUCCCUGGACCCGCCUCCAUUCUCCCGCCCGAGUGUGCUCAGGCAUCAAGCUACCUGCUCUGAUGUGGAAGGUUACCCUGAAUACUGCAGAGCUGUACAAAAAGAAGAGCUGAAGUCUGGGCCACGAAGACUAGUCAAUACCUUGACAACACAGGGCUUUUGGACGCUAUCAGCUGUCACUGACACGUGUGAUAUCAUAUACUUGAAAGCAGUGCUCACCAAAGAUGUCUGAGCAGUUCUUGGGAGAAAAACAGUAAGGUGGCAGAAGUUUUAGCAGUGGAAGUUAAUAUAAUUUAAGGCCAAGAUGGAUAUUAUGGGAUCAAAUUUAGCAUCCAGCCCCAAUUCUGAAACUUCCACUUGGCUCAGCUGUUGGCAGUCAUGACUAAGAAUGGGUUGAAGUGUUAAAAGGAAAAGAAGCACAUGACAUACAUCUUUCUGGCAACAGUCCUGUUGUAAAUGUCAUAAUCCAAAAGGGGAGGAGCUGGAGGGUUGUUAUUUGCAUAAUUACAGUCACUCAUGAAGUUUCCGGUGUUAGGCACAAUCAGGUAUAAGAAUUUAAAAGUGCCUUCAACCUUAAGAUUCUUUCAUGACUCUAGCUCCUCAGGGCCCCGUCUGGCUAAACGAGGCAAAGAUGAAGCCCAACUCAAGAAAUAAGUAACUUGACGAUGGGAGGACUGACAUUAUUCAA